AGUGAGUCCGGGCAGGGUCGAAUGCGGUGGGAGUAGAGAUGGGGUUAUUAAUCUAAGAUAGUGGUUCGGAGGGAGGAGCAGGUAGGUUCCAAGAGGGCGGGAACUUCAGGAAAGCGCAGAGAGAACUCUCUCAGGCUUCAGAGAAGUGUAUACUCUUACUUUGCACCCUUGAGUCUGGCUCUUCCUUCUAGAGCCGUCGGGUAGGGGGUGGCCAUGAUCUUGGGGUCACCGGGGAGAGAGGUGGCCCUUUGUGGCUUCCAGAGGUCGGUGCUGAAGGCGAACGUGCCUCAGUUGGGUGGCCGGGAGUUGCACCAGUUAUAACCCGGGCGUGUUUCGAUCCGCUGGUAGUUGUUUACUUGGUGAGGUUUGCGCCCGGCGGAGGGCGGUUGCCGUAUACCUAAAAUCGGAGUCAGCAGCACUUUCCCUUUCCAGUGAGGAAUAUCAAUUCUUCUACGGUUAAGCCGGGAAAACAGCGGCUAGUUUGGGAGGGAAGAAACCCCUUGGGCAAACGCCCAAAGCCUGCGUAUAUUCCGGCCGGAGCAUCCUGGCGCCCAGUUUGGGGAGGAGGGGUGAAGGGCAAGAUCUGGAUACGAGGCCCGGCAGGGAGAGGGUAACUCCUGGAGCCACUCCGCCGAGCACUGCCUGCGACCCUGAUCGAGGAAGGAUACCAUUCUGGUUGCUCAGUGAUUGACGAGGAGGCGGAAGCCAGUUAGGGGGACCAAGGAGUGCGUAGGGAGAGCCUCCAUCGGCCCACGGAUGCGAGGGGCGCCAGGAGGCAGCAGCGACGGCGCAGCGUGGGACAGCCAGGCGCGACGGAAGGGAAGCAACCGGUUGCAGUCCGGCCUCCUGUACCUGGCUGGCCCGGGCUGGGGCUCCAAGCUUUCCAGCCAAACAUGUGAAGCAAAGUAGUUGUAGUUUGACAGAGUGGCGUUUCAAUAAAUGACAUAGUCAUUUUUUACGCUUUGGUUUUUUGCUUGCAUUGCGUAAACGUUCUCGCUAUUAAAUUCUGGCUGCGGACCCGAAGUGUGUGCGGGUCCGGGACUUAGUCGAAGGGCGCACUUCUUGGGGAUGCGCAUCUCGUAGGCGCAGGAGACCCUGAGAGUGAAGGUACGGAACUUGAGCCCUCCGCUUGCCCUGCAGGCCACCUUUGCUGCUUGACUUUCCUUCGUCUCCACUCAGAAGUUUUUAAAAUCAUUAUUGAGAAAAGAAAGAUUCUCCAAGACACUGCCCCUUACGCUGUCUGCCCAGUCCUCUCCCACAUGCUCUAUCCCUAAACCUUUCGCGGGGCUCAGGCGUUUGGUUUGUUGAGUGGAGACACGACUCGCGAGACAAAAUUUAGGACCCCCCAGAUCCCUGUAUCUCCCUUCCUUCUCUCCGCCUAUUAUUUCUACUUGGAAGUCGUUUUUCUUAACUAGGACUCAAGCACUGAGGGAUGAGGAGCCCUUUAUGAAAAGCCAGGGGCUUUCAUUUCCAAAGGAAAAGAUUAAGAUUGUUUCUUCUUUUACCAUCCUUGGCCCUUUUAGCGGGGGGAGAGGAGGUUAUCUGAAGGGAGGGAGGCAGGCUUGAAUGUGAGUCUUUGUGAAACCCAGGUAGGGCAAAGACACGUAAAUCUCUGCCAACAUUUUUUAAAAAUAAGUUUUUGCCCCGGAUUAAGGGGUGUAGGGGUGGGUAGGAGGAAAGGGGAGCCAAGCAAAUGUAGGACUCCUCUCUCCUCUGCCAUUUAUUUUCUCAGAAUCCUUGUUGGGGGGGGAGGGGAAGAGCACCGGUGCGAACCCCGGGGUGCCCCCUCGCCCGACUUCGACUUCUUUGACUUAAGAGGUGGGAGGAGUUCCCUGCAGCCUGCGGGGCCGAGAAGUAAGUGCUAAACUCAGGAGCCGCAGUCGGAGGACCCUAGGGACCCGACAGGAAGUCUCCGUUCGACCCCCACGGAUCCACAUGCCCGGAAACCUAGGCGACCCUAAGCCAGCGCUGGGGAACUGACGUACUCCUGCAGUCGCAGGGCGCUCCAUGACACUCUCUCCUCUUCUUUCUUGGGGAUAACGUUCUCUGCGGGAGACCUGAGGUUACCCAAGGAGAACUUGCCCUCUACACUGGCCUUGGCGCCCUGAGAUAAGCACCAGGACUCACAGCCUAGCUCGAAGGCAGGUAGCACCUUCACCCGCCGCGGAAGAUAGGUGCUCUCCUGCACUUCCUUUAGCUCAAGAGGCCCGCCCUACGCGAGGUCCCAGGGAAAAGCAGGCUGUGGAAAACUGGGCGCUCCCUUAUUUCACCCACCUUCUUACCCCUGUCAGCUCCGAGGUCUGUGGCAGAGGUUCCUGGUCUGAACCACCGAUUGGUAAAGAAAGCUGCAGAUUAAACUCGUUUUACAGAGAAGGAAACUGAGGCCCAGACAGACGAAAGAGAGGCAAGCUAUGGAGCGUAGCGGUAAAAAGCAAGGGAUUGGUAGCCCCAGAAUGGAACCUCAGCUCUGCCAGGUAACCAACAGCUGUGUGACCCUAGACGAGUUCCGCAGUCUCUCUGAGCCUCAGUUUCCUUACUGGUCAAACGGGAUAAUGGGAUACUAGCGCCCACCUCAUAGAGUUGUUCUGAGGAUUAGAUAGGAGAAUAGUGUUGACGUUGGACUCAAUCAGCUUUACAGUUUUUGUUACUACUACUGUUUAAGGACAGGAAACAAGUUAGUGGCAAAGCCGAGCUGAAACCCAGGUCUCUCAACAUCCGGUUGGAGGUUUUACCCACCACCCUUCUGCCUCUUCAGAGCUAGUAGGAUGCAGAGGCAAGGAGAGCCCCUGGAAAACAAUGUGGCGUUGAUACACCGGCAAAGCGCAGGCAUCUCCGCCUCGAAGGUGCAUAAUUAUUGCCAUAUGAAAAAAUCGAGGCUGGAUGGGAGCAGGGCAGUGAGGAUCUCUCAAUCCCUACUUUCACCCCGGAGCUGUUCACUACAUCUGACCGAGCGCGGAGCUGGGCUGCUAUACAGCCGCAACCCCAGGGACCAGUGCGCACGCCCGGGCCGCCCUCCGGGAGACACCCUGCGGCCGUGGACAACUGAAUAAACACCCCAAAGCACUGCGAUCGGUCAAGGGCGGUGACAGCCACCCUGCGCGCGGGGCCCGCCGGCUGUAAUAAAGAGUGGCUCGACCUCGCUGCCGCCUGUCGCGGGAGAGGAACAGGCGUUCGACUAGCACCUCUCUCCGGGACCCGCGCCCGGAGCCCCACGCGCAAGACAGCCCUACAGCUAGCUGCUGCUCCCCUCCCCGCCGACUCCAACUCCUCGGAAUCUGCCCACUCGGGGCUGCGGGGCAAGUGUUUAGGAUGGUUCCCAGCCCCGCACUGGCGGUAAAAAUUUCAACGUCAUUUCUUUAAUUAAAAAAAAAAAAAAAAAAAAAAAGGCAAGGGAGGAGCUUUUCUGAUAACUACUCCCAGCUUCUUCUGAUCAUUUCAAAAUGAACUCAAUUUUUUUUUUAACCAGUCCCUACUUACGGUUCUAACUCUCCUCUCUGACCCUGUCUGGGGGCCAGGAACCAUUAGGUACUGCCGAGUGCGGUGCAAAAUUUCCCCCUUUCCCCCAAUUCGCAGUGCCUGGAGCCACGGGGUUACCCGUCUGUUCUGAUGCCACCGCGAGAUGGUCCCCGAGCUCCCCGAGAGUCCUCAAUGAAAGGAUUCCGCGGCGCUGCCUCUAUUAUUAUACCGUAAAUCUUUUUAAAUUCUGGAACUAAUUAUAUAGAGGAUAUGUCUCAAUUUGUUCUGCAUUAAUGCCACAGUGGGGAUGGAGGCCAGGCCGUGGCCAGAGCAGAUAUGUAGGCCCAUGAAAUUGAUGAACUGAGAGUUGCUUCCAGUCCUGAGCGCACCAUCUGGAAUUCCAGUCUGAGGUUACAAUUAGAACUCCUGACCCCAGAUUCAACUUUGCAAACAACAGGAAAAAAAAUGGGGAAAAGAAAAACCAUGAGAGAGGGGAAAAAAAUUAUUCUGCACCUGUAAAAAAAAAAAAAAAAAAAAAAAA